CAGGUAAACUUUCCCGAUUUGGGUUUUCUGCAAGGCUAAUCAUCUAAAUUAAUUUGUUAUUUUUAUGGUUUACAUCCUAAACCCCAGUUUUACAGUAUCUCAUGAUAAUCUUUCUUCGUUUUUUAGAAUCUGAUCAAAUUGGGCCAUAAUCUGAAGAAAUGUGUUUAAGCUACGACAAGGUAUGAUAAAAAAAUAUAAAAGCUGCUCUUCCUGUCUUUUGUUCGCUUCACGUAUCUUCGCUAAAUCAAUAUGUUGGAAGUAUGAAGGCUAUGGUUAAGGAUAAAUGAUAAGAUCUUCAAAGGGGUCGAUGCUUUU